rnacentral:rRNA from 1 species
UACGGGAGGCAGCAGUGGGGAAUAUUGGACAAUGGGCGGAAGCCUGAUCCAGCCAUGCCGCGUGUGUGAAGAAGGCCUUUUGGUUGUAAAGCACUUUAAGCGAGGAGGAGGCUCUCCUAGUUAAUACCUAGGAAGAGUGGACGUUACUCGCAGAAUAAGCACCGGCUAACUCUGUGCCAGCAGCCGCGGUAAUACAGAGGGUGCGAGCGUUAAUCGGAUUUACUGGGCGUAAAGCGUGCGUAGGCGGCUGAUUAAGUCGGAUGUGAAAUCCCUGAGCUUAACUUAGGAAUUGCAUUCGAUACUGGUCAGCUAGAGUAUGGGAGAGGAUGGUAGAAUUCCAGGUGUAGCGGUGAAAUGCGUAGAGAUCUGGAGGAAUACCGAUGGGCGAAGGCAGCCAUCUGGCCUAAUACUGACGCUGAGGUCGAAAGCAUGGGGAAGCAAACGAGGAUUAGGAAUAACC